GACCGCUUGGCGCAAUGGUAGUGCGCUAGACUCCAGCUCGAAAGGUUGAGAGUUCGAUCCGCUCAGUGGUCG
rnacentral:tRNA from 1 species